GCGGGAGUAGCUCAGAUGGCAGAGCGUCAGCCUUCCAAGCUGAAUGUCGCGAGUUCGAUCCUCGUCUCCCGCUCCA
rnacentral:tRNA from 1 species